AUUGAACGCUGGCGGCAGGCCUAACACAUGCAAGUCGAACGAGUGGCGGACGGGUGAGUAAUGUCUGGGAAACUGCCUGAUGUAGGGGGAUAACUACUGGAAACGGUAGCUAAUACCGCAUACCAUCAGAUGUGCCCAGAUGGGCUUAGCGAGUAGGUGGGGUAAUGGCUCACCUAGGCGACGAUCCCUAGCUGGUCUGAGAGGAUGACCAGGCGCACUGGAACUGAGACACGGUCCAUACUCCUACGGUAGUCAGCAGUGGGGAAUAGUGCACAAUGGGAGCAAGCCUGAUGCAGCCAUGCCGCGUGGGUGAAGAAGGCCUGCGGGUUGUAAAGCACUUUAAGCGAGGAGGCGUUACUCGCAGAAGAAGCACCGGCUAACUCCGUGCCAGCAGCCGCGGUAAUUC
rnacentral:rRNA from 1 species